rnacentral:tRNA from 1 species
GCCCCCUUAGCUCAGUGGUAGAGCGCCUCCAUGGUAAGGAGGAGGUCGUCCGUUCAAUCCGGACAGGGGGCU